GACGAACGCUGGCGGCGUGCCUAAUACAUGCAAGUAGAACGCUGAAGGAGGAGCUUGCUUCUCUGGAUGAGUUGCGAACGGGUGAGUAACGCGUAGGUAACCUGCCUGGUAGCGGGGGAUAACUAUUGGAAACGAUAGCUAAUACCGCAUAAUAGUAGAUGUUGCAUGACAUUUGCUUAAAAGGUGCAAUUGCAUCACUACCAGAUGGACCUGCGUUGUAUUAGCUAGUUGGUGGGGCAACGGCUCACCAAGGCGACGAUACAUAGCCGUCCGGCGAGGGGGAUCGGCCCCACUGGGACUGCGACACGGCCCAGACUCCUACGGGAGGCAGCAGUAGGGAAUCGUCGGCCAUGGACGGAAGUCUGACCGAGCAACGCCGCGGGAGUGAAGAAGGUUUUCGGAUCGUAAAGCUCGGUUGUGAGAGAAGAACGAGUGUGAGAGUGGAAAGUUCACACUGUGACGGUAUCUUACCAGAAAGGGACGGCUAACUACGUG
rnacentral:rRNA from 1 species